rnacentral:lncRNA from 1 species
AACAAAACCACUUUCUGAAGUUCCUGUGUCCUGCACUCCAGGACCGAAGAGAUGCUGGUUUCCUACGUGGUGGGUAUCUCUCGUGUGUUGCUUACGUGCCACUGUUGUUCCUUUCCUUGCUGUUGUGCAGUGGAUCUGCCAUUCCCAGAGACCACCACCCGUCCUGUCCUCAGAGGUGGCCCCAAUGCCAUUGCCCUCUACAGAGGCAACAGCAGCAGUCUUGGCCCAGGGAAGGUGCUGCCAGUGACCGGCCUGUUGGACGCCUUCGUGUACACGAGCAGUGAGGAACCAAACCCUGAGCUGCUGGAGAUCCUGACCCCUGGCAGACCUGCCUACCAGGAAAAGCGGCACCAGCUGGGAGAUGUGUCCAUGAACCAAUGCAACUGCUGCUCGGUGACCCGGGACUCCUUGUCCUACGUCCUCAGCAGACCCACCCCUGGCAAAUUCAAUGAUUGCCCCCGGAAACGCUUCAGCCAGACUCUCUCUUUCUGCCUUCAUGUAGCAGGUGACCAUUAGUUAUUUCUGCUCCUGUAGGCAGGACCUGCUAAGGACAAGAACACAUGCACAAAGCCAGAGAUGUCCAGGAAGACCACCCAGAGUCAUGCUGGGUUGUGUGAACGUAACACCAAAGGAAACAUAGCUAGGACACCUGACAAUUUUCUGCAAUACUUUUCUUCAUGGCAACCCAUGCCAAGAUGAGCUUCUUCAGUCUUCAUCCCCAUCGCCAACUACUUGGGGUGAAGAGAAGCCUUUUCAGGCCCUCUGAGUGAUAAGCAGGAGCUGAGCUGCACCCAUCCCAGAAUAAGCUGGAUCUCAUGAUGGAGGUUGCACUGUCUGGGUAACAAUGGGCUUUUUGUUUUGUAGAUUGUCAGGAGUGGCUCCUGAAGUCAGAAGAGAUUCUGAUGACUCUGGUCCAGGCCCUUGAUGGAUCCUGCAACUGUGGCCUCUCUGCUGCCUACUUCAAAGGUGAGCUGGGCAGGAACGGGGCAGCCCAGGCGCCACCAGUGGUUAAUGCCCAUUUGCUUCUGAUUUUCAGCCUUGUGUUCCCUGUUGCAUUGUGUCCUCCUGGCUUGGAUUCUAGCUAAUUUGAACUUGGUGCUGAUGACAGAAGUGUUGAGUGUUAGGCAGAGCAUGGUGCUCUUCUUCCAUGUUACACAGAGUGCUCCCGUCCACAGGUCCACCAGCACACAUCAGUGCUCAUCUGCAGAUCACCAGCUAUUUUGGCCUUGAGCAUUUGCAGCCAGAUAUUUGUGGCAACAGGGCUGACAUCACUAGGAGUUUGUUGCCUACUUGACUUUAUAAGCCUACUUGACCAUCUAAGCCAAGCUGAAGCAGAAAUGCAAG